UAACGCGAAGAACCUUACCAAGGCUUGACAUACACCGGAAACGGCCAGAGAUGGUCGCCCCCUUGUGGUCGGUGUACAGGUGGUGCAUGGUUGUCGUCAGCUCGUGUCGUGAGAUGUUGGGUUAAGUCCCGCAACGAGCGCAACCCUUAUUGUCAGUUGCCAGCAUUUAGUUGGGCACUCUGGCGAGACUGCCGGUGACAAAUCGGAGGAAGGCGGGGAUGACGUCAAAUCAUCAUGCCCCUUAUGACCUGGGCUACACACGUGCUACAAUGGGUGGUACAACGAGCAGCGAGACCGCGAGGUCAAGCGAAUCUCUAAAAACCAUCCUCAGUUCGGAUUGCAGGCUGCAACUCGCCUGCAUGAAGCGGGAAUCGCUAGUAAUCGCGGAUCAGC
rnacentral:rRNA from 1 species